AUUAAUACCUUUGUGUCACAUAACAGCCUAUACUGAUUCUAUCGGAGUCCAGGUGGCGUUUUACAUAUAAACAUUACUCAAUGGACUACGAAGGAGACUUUACAAUUUGUAAUAACAAAUCUCAAGACAGACAGUGUAAGUUGGACCUCAUUGGAAAUGGGCUGGUCUCCGGCCUAAUGGGCGUUCCUGAUGCUCAUUAUUACGUGUUCUAGACAAAAAGCCACAGCUAUCAGGAAACAAUGUCUGGACUUAAUCGUGAAAGGGCAACAAAACUUACCAAUUAUUCAUAGAUAGCCAAAAAUUGUAUCACUCAUCAAGCUUCCUGCAAAAAUUCUUGAUAUGAAAUUAUUUAAAUAGUGUAAAUUUUAUUUUUUAAAUGUUUUCCUUCGCAAUAAUCUCAAAAAUAAUGUUAGCAAUGUGUAGUAAAUCUUGUAGGCUUUAUGUUUAUUAAUAUUGUAUAGUAUUACUGUUAAUGUUUAUCUUAUUAAUAGAGAAAGUAAACCGUUUGUUGUAAAGAAUAUAGACAUGUAAGAUAAUAAGAUAUAACAUUUUGAGGAUUAAAACCAGAUUUAUUGAUUUUUGCCGGAUGUACAUGAUAUAGUCCUACAGUAUAAACAUAAAAUGUAUAUAGGCCUAUAUCACAACUUGAUUUCAA